GUUUUCAGGAAGUGGGCAGAAUGAAGAUCGAGCUUUUUGCUGACAUUGUUCCGAAGACUGCAGAAAAUUUUCGGCAGUUCUGUACUGGUGAAUUCAAGAAGGACGGUGUUCCUGUAGGCUAUAAAGGCUGCACAUUUCAUCGGGUGAUAAAGGACUUCAUGAUUCAGGGUGGUGAUUUCGUCAAUG